CAUCAAAGCGGGAAACUCGCCUCAAGAGAGAUCUCCCGGGCAUUUAUGCCCCUUAAGGUCACAGAAAGACGAUCUGUUCGAUAGGCUGGAAAUGGAAGCAUGGCAACAUGCGCAGUUGACCAGUACUAAGCGACCGUGCGAUUUGACUUC
rnacentral:rRNA from 1 species